AUUAAGUGUAGCCUGUUGAAGUAUCGUUUGGUACUUGAUUUUUAGUAUUAUGAUGUUUAUGUCCUGGUGAUCGAAAGUGAUAUCGAAAUGUUCCUUUUAAAUUAGUAAUAUUUUAAAUAAUGAAUUUAUUAGAAUUGGUAUGGAGAGUGACACGAUGACCUUGAAUUUGUCUGGUACCGAUGGAAAAAACCUGAAUGCUUUGUUCAUCAUCAAUGGCAUCCGUUCCUCUCCUACUCUUUUAGUUGAAAAUCUGAAGUUGGAAUUACCCUUAGAUAAGUUCGAUCCUGAUACUGCUUCAAGGAUUCUACAAGAUAAUGGUGUGAUUGAAAAUGUUGAUACAACAAGAGGAUUGGUUUGUGUUCAAGGACAAGAUAAAUCAGAAAGCUUAACUAGAUUGGAAAAUAUUAGGCUUUC
rnacentral:lncRNA from 1 species